GUGUGCAAUUUACAUGUUUACAAAUGAGAUUAAUGACCUUCCUCAUAAUGUGGCAGAAAAUAUGUGAGAAGUAAUUUGUAUUCAUUUUUAAUUAUUGCUUUUGUUGUACGAAAUCGAUGUGGACAUGGGAAAACUCGAGGUUGAAGUUCAUUCUCAUAACAGUUUGUGUCAAUAUUGCUAUUGUAUUGACAUGCUUCUUACACACAAGUCUACGACUGGAAGCAGGUGAUGCACUCACACCGUAGUGGUUUCUGCACGUGAAGAAUGAAUGUGUCGUCGGGACAGUGGACAUAAUUCCUCACAGAUAUUGUGCGAUGUUUUGGAGGGAAGCAACAUUGGCAAUCUGAUUUCAAGUAUACGUUGAUUGUGCCAUCUUUCGUCGAUCUAUAGGCUUGUGACUUGCUGUGGCAUCGACCCAAGCAUUCGCUUAGAGGGACUUGAACCGAACAGUUAUCGUGGUGGAACACCUGGAAUGUAGAUGAAAGAUUGCACGAUGUUCUUGAGGAAGACUUCUGAUGUUAAGUAUCGACAUUUGACAAAUUAGCAAAAGCUGGAUAUUCAUUGGCUAUGAUUCCCACGCAGAGAACUGAGAGAAGAACAGCUGAAAUCAUUCUCGUUUGUCACUGACAUCUCAGUGUAUGCUCCUUGAGAGCGGUCAUGUGCUGGUGGAUUCGAUCAACACUGGCAACAGUCGGAGGAACUUGCGCUUAUGAGUAUUGUCCGCGGUAUCUUGUUCCUAUCAGGAACUGAUAAACAUGAGAGUAUGUACAGAUUGAAUAUCACGCCAUACGUUUAAUCCCUGAAA